UGCAGUCGAGCGGACAGAUGGGAGCUUGCUCCCUGAUGUUAGCGGCGGACGGGUGAGUAACACGUGGGUAACCUGCCUGUAAGACUGGGAUAACUCCGGGAAACCGGGGCUAAUACCGGAUGCUUGUUUGAACCGCAUGGUUCAAACAUAAAAGGUGGCUUCGGCUACCACUUACAGAUGGACCCGCGGCGCAUUAGCUAGUUGGUGAGGUAAUGGCUCACCAAGGCAACGAUGCGUAGCCGACCUGAGAGGGUGAUCGGCCACACUGGGACUGAGACACGGCCCAGACUCCUACGGGAGGCAGCAGUAGGGAAUCUUCCGCAAUGGACGAAAGUCUGACGGAGCAACGCCGCGUGAGUGAUGAAGGUUUUCGGAUCGUAAAGCUCUGUUGUUAGGGAAGAACAAGUGCCGUUCAAAUAGGGCGGCACCUUGACGGUACCUAACCAGAAAGCCACGGCUAACUACGUGCCAGCAGCCGCGGUAAUACGUAGGUGGCAAGCGUUGUCCGGAAUUAUUGGGCGUAAAGGGCUCGCAGGCGGUUUCUUAAGUCUGAUGUGAAAGCCCCCGGCUCAACCGGGGAGGGUCAUUGGAAACUGGGGAACUUGAGUGCAGAAGAGGAGAGUGGAAUUCCACGUGUAGCGGUGAAAUGCGUAGAGAUGUGGAGGAACACCAGUGGCGAAGGCGACUCUCUGGUCUGUAACUGACGCUGAGGAGCGAAAGCGUGGGGAGCGAACAGGAUUAGAUACCCUGGUAGUCCACGCCGUAAACGAUGAGUGCUAAGUGUUAGGGGGUUUCCGCCCCUUAGUGCUGCAGCUAACGCAUUAAGCACUCCGCCUGGGGAGUACGGUCGCAAGACUGAAACUCAAAGGAAUUGACGGGGGCCCGCACAAGCGGUGGAGCAUGUGGUUUAAUUCGAAGCAACGCGAAGAACCUUACCAGGUCUUGACAUCCUCUGACAUUCCUAGAAGAUAGGACGUCCCCUUCGGGGGCAGAGUGACAGGUGGGUGCAUGGUUGUCGUCAGCUCGUGUCGUGAAAAGUUUGGGUUAAGUCCCGCAACGAGCGCAACCCUUGAUCUUAGUUGCCAGCAUUCAGUUGGGCACUCUAAGGUGACUGCCGUG
rnacentral:rRNA from 1 species